GACGAACGCUGGCGGCGUGCUUAACACAUGCAAGUCGAACGGAAAGGCCCCUUUGGGGGUACUCGAGUGGCGAACGGGUGAGUAACACGUGAGUAACCUGUCCUUGACUUCGGGAUAACUUCAGGAAACUGGGGCUAAUACCGGAUAGGAAUCCUUGCUGCAUGGUGGGGGUUGGAAAGCUUCGGCGGUUUUGGAUGGACUCGCGGCUUAUCAGCUUGUUGGUGGGGUAGUGGCUUACCAAGGCUUUGACGGGUAGCCGGCCUGAGAGGGCGACCGGCCACAUUGGGACUGGGAUACGGCCCAGACUCCUACGGGAGGCAGCAGUGGGGAAUAUUGCACAAUGGGCGGAAGCCUGAUGCAGCAACGCCGCGUGCGGGAUGACGGCCUUCGGGUUGUAAACCGCUUUCAGCAGGGGCGAAGCUUGUGGUGACGGUACCUGCAGAAGAAGCACCGGCUAACUACGUG
rnacentral:rRNA from 1 species